rnacentral:lncRNA from 1 species
AUGGGGGCCAGCCGGGCAGAAGCAGGAGGGGGGCGAAGGUGGUGGAUAGAGGAGGCGGGGGACUUACAGAGCGGGAGGAGGGAAACGGGGCCCCUUCCUCUGAGGGGUGCGGCCCACUGUGGCCCAGAGUGCGGGGUCUACACCGUAUGGCUUGGAUUCCAGGCCCAGCCUGGCUGCUUCCUAGCUGUGCAACCUUGGGCCUGUUGCUCACCCACUCUGGGCCUCAGUGUCCCCAACUGUAAAGGGCUAAGAGGAACCCGCCCCGCCCACCCCAUUAGUACUUUGUGUAAGGCCCACAGCACAGAGCUUGGAGCACGACAGAUGCCCCUGGGUGUUCGCCGUCACUGUCCUUUGAGGGUCCGAGCCCCAGGCUCCGGGGGGAGAUGGGGCACAGAUUGGGGUGGCAAAUUCUCUGAGGGCGUCCAGAAGAUAGGGGCCUCGGGCCCCCACUAUUGUUCCCCGUUAAUGUGCAGUUCUCACGCCCCAUCCCCCAGGGCCCACAUCCCUCUGCCAGCAUCUCUGCCAUUCCUGAGCCCUGACUCACCCGGACUUGUGGUCCACUCUGACCCCAGGGCUGUCCCCCAGGACCUAUCUCCCCGCCUUUGUCUUUCGAGUUCAUUUGCCAGGUCUUCCGUUCCCAGCAACAGGCGGCCCAGCCCUGCCUGCUCCCUGUGUCCAGGAGCUCUCAGUGGGGUCCCACUUGAGGAUACCUGUGGCCUCCCACACAAGGCCUCUGGGGGAGGGGCAGGUGGGGUAGAGGAAUCCCGAGUGGAGGGGUUGCCCACCUGGGAGACACGAGAGCUCCCAGAAUCCCGAGAAAGGAGGGCUGGGCUCGCCAUGCUGUUGGACCCCAAGGGCAAGAACCAGGUUGUCCUCCCCAGAGGGGAGCCCCCUAGCACGAGCCUCUCCUGCCCUCUGCCCCCCAGGAGCAGGCCCAGCUCGCCAACGUGGGGCUGCGGACGGGGCUGUUGGCCCCAGGCCUGCCCAAAAUUCCCCACUUGGGAACCGGUGGGUGUCCGCCCCGUCCCCAGCCCCACUCUGGAUUCCCUGGGCACCCCCAACCCCCUUGGGCGGCCCCCUCCCGGCCCUCUAAUUACCCGCUGGGUAUAA